UUCUCUUUUUUUCUCUUCAUUCUUCUAAUUUAUCUCUUUUCCUCUUUGUUGUUGCUACCAAUGUCAUUCGUAACAUUUCACUUCUCAAUUUUCAUCACCACCCUCUGAAUUCACCUGCAAAUAUAAAACGUAACACAAUUGUGAAUUUUGAUUAUUUUUUUUUAUGAAUUAACAAUUCUAUACAUGUGAUUGACCCAGUCUCUCUCUUUUUUCCUUUAUGAUCAAAAGUGAAUUGUUGUGGUGGAUUUUUUUCUGUGGAUUCUCUUUUUCUGUCACUUUCUCGAAAAAAUCAUGAUGUGUUCAUCCUCUGAGUCGUUGUUUUCUCCAUCAAGCCCACUCUCGAAUGUGGAACAGUUUCUUCUUAGUGUCACUCCUCAUGUACCUUCAUCCUCACUUUUUCCUAAGAGCUGUGUAAAGGAGCUAAAUAUCCAAUGGUUACCUUUUGGCAAGGACAAAAUUGAUUACUUCACUCUGAAGGAUCUUUGGGAGUGCUAUGAAGAAUGGAGUGCAUGGGGUGUUGGCACACCUGUAAUGUUGGAAGAUGGUGAUACUCUGAUUCAAUAUUACGUCCCAUACCUCUCUGCCAUCGAAAUCUACACCACAAAAUCUGUUGUAGCUUCAAGAAACAGGAGGGAGGAUGGUGAUUCAGUUGAACUUGGCUCUGAUUCGUCCUUGAGUGAUGAUGAUAUAUCUAGAUCUUUAAGCAACAAUUCAAGUAAAGCUUGGGAUGUUUCUUCUUUCAACUCAAGAUCUCAUCAAGAAGGUUCAUGGCCAACAAGGGAUAUGCUUGGCUACCUUUACUUGCAGUACAAUGAGAAAUCCUCACCUCGCACGAGGGUUCCAUUUCUUCAUAAGAUAAGUGAGCUUGCUCAAAGCUAUCCUGCAUUGAUGACAUUGAAGAGUGUGGAUAUUUCGCCUGCAAGUUGGAUGGCUGUUGCUUGGUACCCCAUCUAUACAAUACCUAAUCAGGCAAGUGAGAAGGACACAACAACUUGCUUCCUCACAUACCAUACCUUAUCAUCUUCUUUUCAAGAUUGCGCGGAUAAUGGCAUAGGGAAAAACAUAUGUAGUUGUAAUUGCUGGGGAAGUGAUGAGGGAGACCAAUGCAAGGAGCAAGACCAUAGCUUCAUUUCUCUCACCCCUUUUGGGCUAGCUAGUUACAAACUACAGAGGAACAUUUGGUUAAGUUCAUCUUUUAACGGUCAAAGGAUGUAUGACCUAUACAGUGCUGCAGACUCGUGGUUGAAGCAGCUCAAUGCCCACCACGACGACUUCAACUUUUUCAGGCUGCGAUCUGACUAAUGAAUUGGUUUGUGCUCUUUGCUAACUACCAAAUUGUUUUAGUUCGGUAACCUGACUCCGACAUCAUCAGAAGUUCCCCCAGGAGGUGCUGGAAACAUUGAGAAACAUUUGAGGCCAUAUAUGAAAAGGAUGUAUAUUAAUCCUAUGAAGUUUUGUUCAUGGGGUCCUCUAAAACAUGAUUUUUACUAUGUUGAUGCACAGAGCUUUUAUGAAGGAGCCUGGUCUGAUUUACAAGGGUGACAUCAAUGUACGCCCUAAUGCAGACAUAAAAAGACGAUCCUACUUUGAAGCCCAUGAUAUCGUAUGGAAUCUUGGGUAUCCUGACACUGUUAAGUUAUGUUGGAACCCUGAUGACCCAAGCUUCUUAAAUCGGCUGAAAUCUUUUUUGUGGGGACAACCACGCCUUUGAAUUGGCAAACAAAAGAAACAGCGUGAGGCUUGUAGCAGACGUGAGGGAUACGAACCAAAUUCCUGGUGUUGCUGCUAAUGAACAAGGAAACAAUGUUCAUGACAGGUAAUGAAGCAAGGUUGCUUGUAGGAAUAAUAAGACUGCAUCAUUGAUGAAAGUAUCGGGGGUUCAAUUCAAUGAAAACAAGAAGGAGAGGAAUGUGGAAGUGGAUAAUGGAGUUAAAUGACUUUUUCAUUAGCUCCAUUCAUGUCAUUUUUGCUUGUUUGGAUCACAGACAUGAGUCUUACUUUGUUGAUUCACUACAAAGGAGCUUUUCCAAAGGAGCUCGAUUUGAUUUACAAGGGGUAACAUCAAUGUUCACCUUAAUGCAGACAUUGAUUUACAGACGUGAGGGAUGCAAACCAAAUUCCUGGUGUUGCUGCUAAUGAACAAGGAAACAAUUUUCAUGGCAGGUAAUGAAGCGAGGUUGCUUGUAGGAAUGAUAAGACUGCAUCAUUGAUGAAAGUAUCGGGGGUUCAAUUCAAUGAAAACAAGAAGGAGAGGAAUGUGGAAGUGGAUAAUGGACUUAAAUGACUUUUUCAUUAGCUCCAUUCAUGUCAUUUUUGCUUGUUUGGAUCGCAGACAUGAGUCUUACUUUGUUGAUUCACUACAGAGGAGUUUUUCCAAAGGAGCUCGAUUUGAUUUACAAGGGGUAAAAUCAAUGUUCACCCUAAUGCAGACAUAAGGGGUGUGAACCAAAUACCUGGUGUGGAUGCUAAUGAAGGGGUUGAACAGGGAAACAAUGUUCAUCAUAAUGAAGCAAGCUCGCUUGUAGGAAUGAUAAGAUUGCAUCAUCGAUGAAAGUAUCGGGGGGUGCAAUUCAAAGGCAUAAAGAAGCAGAGGGUGAUAUUUAAUGACAUCAAGAAGGAUGAAUGUGGAAGUGUGUGAUGGAUUUGAUAUUGGGGAGUGUAUAUGAGGUGGAAACAACCCUACUGAAGAUUGAAACUGGAGCCAGUGUUUGCAAAGAGGCUUUUUUGUCUUAUCGGCAAAAAAAGCAAAAGGAAAGAACUUCUGCACUAGUGAAUAUCACCGAAGAAGCAUAUAGUGGAGGAGGUAAAAAAAUGAGGGUGUUCAAAUUGAAAUGCCUGUUAUAGAAAGCAUUAAUAGCAGCAGGCUGGGAAAGCUCUUGUAGAGUUCGAGUAAGCUGCAAACUCAAUAAUGAAUAAGUUGAAGUCAAGUAACAAUGUCAAGUUAUAUGAAACCAGUGAUGAUACAUGAACAAAAUACUCAGUUAUCACAGUGUGUCAUGUAUGGAAGGCAAGAAAGAUUUGCAAGAGAAAUAACAUAAUGGGAUGCAUCAAAGCAAUACAAUUUAUUGUAGAGUUACAAUGUUGCAUUGAGGACGGCUUGUGAGAAGAACAAUAUAAAGUGCAGUUGGACAAGCCCUACAACAAGUGUCAGAUGAAAAUUACAUAAUUCUGCAACAAAUAUGAAGAACUUUUGGAUGCUCGUAUGGAUAGUAACCAUAUAUGAAA